AUUGAACGCUGGCGGCAUGCCUUACACAUGCAAGUCGAACGGCAGCACGGGAGCAAUCCUGGUGGCGAGUGGCGAACGGGUGAGUAAUAUAUCGGAACGUGCCCAGUCGUGGGGGAUAACGCAGCGAAAGCUGUGCUAAUACCGCAUACGAUCUAAGGAUGAAAGCGGGGGAUCGCAAGACCUCGCGCGAUUGGAGCGGCCGAUAUCAGAUUAGCUAGUUGGUGGGGUAAAGGCCCACCAAGGCGACGAUCUGUAGCUGGUCUGAGAGGACGACCAGCCACACUGGAACUGAGACACGGUCCAGACUCCUACGGGAGGCAGCAGUGGGGAAUUUUGGACAAUGGGCGCAAGCCUGAUCCAGCAAUGCCGCGUGCAGGAUGAAGGCCUUCGGGUUGUAAACUGCUUUUGUACGGAACGAAACGGCCCUUUCUAAUACAGGGGGCUAAUGACGGUACCGUAAGAAUAAGCACCGGCUAACUACGUGCCAGCAGCCGCCGUAAGAC
rnacentral:rRNA from 1 species